GUGCAGCCAAUUAAGCUGACUGUGCUCCUUCUCCAUGGGGGCCCAGUGUGCCAUGGCUGCAAAUAGUAUCCUCCUUGGUAGUGUAUGCAACCUGUUAAUUGUAUGGGUUGUCCUAAGGGACCUUGGAGACAGUC